GAGUUUGAUCUUGGCUCAGAUUGAACGCUGGCGGCAUGCCUUACACAUGCAAGUCGAACGGCAGCAUGAUCUAGCUCGCUAGAUUGAUGGCGAGUGGCGAACGGGUGAGUAAUACAUCGGAACGUGCCCUGUAGUGGGGGAUAACUGGUCGAAAGAUUAGCUAAUACCGCAUACGACCUGAGGGUGAAAGUGGGGGACCGCAAGGCCUCAUGCUAUAGGAGCGGCCGAUGUCUGAUUAGCUAGUUGGUGGGGUAAAGGCCCACCAAGGCGACGAUCAGUAGCUGGUCUGAGAGGACGAUCAGCCACACUGGGACUGAGACACGGCCCAGACUCCUACGGGAGGCAGCAGUGGGGAAUUUUGGACAAUGGGCGAAAGCCUGAUCCAGCAAUGCCGCGUGUGUGAAGAAGGCCUCGGUGU
rnacentral:rRNA from 1 species